UACGUAGGGAGCAAGCGUUGUCCGGAAUCAUUGGGCGUAAAGCGCGCGUAGGCGGCCCCGUAAGUCCGCUGUGAAAGUCAAAGGCUCAACCUUUGAAAGCCGGUGGAUACUGUGGGGCUAGAGUCCGGAAGAGGCGAGUGGAAUUCCUGGUGUAGCGGGUGGAAUGCGCAGAUAUCAGGAGGAACACCAAUAGCGAAGGCAGCUCGCUGGGACGGUACUGACGCUAAGGCGCGAAAGCGUGGGGAGCGAACAGG
rnacentral:rRNA from 1 species